rnacentral:lncRNA from 1 species
GGGCUUGUUGGAACCUUGUUUACAGCACAAGCUCUGUCUUGGUUUACUCCCUUGUUCGAGAAGCGAUCGCCAAUCCUGAGCAACUUUGAAACGUUCUUGGAGGCGUUUGCAGAAGCAUUUGGCGAGCAUGAUAAAGUUCGAUGGGCUACAACAAAGAUCCGAUCGCUACGACAAGGAACACGCUCUGCAUCAGUCUAUG